rnacentral:misc_RNA from 1 species
UAACAAGUGUUUUAUGGCACUUUUUAAAUCCAUAUCCACCUUGUGUGCAAUGUCAGUCGAUCUUCUUCAUGGAGAUCGACCAAACAUCAACCUUUAUCUUUUAACUCUUUGUCUUAAAAAUAUUAUGAAUAAACAAUUCAAAAUA